rnacentral:rRNA from 1 species
AGCGAACAUUGGCGGUAGGCUUAACACAUGCAAGUCGAGCGAGGCGUAAUAGUCGAGCGGCGAACGGGUGAGUAAUACAUGGGAAUCCACCUUGGAGUGGGGGAUAACAGCCAGAAAUGGCUGCUAAUACCGCAUAAUCCCGAGAGGGGAAAGCGCGCUGCGCUACAAGAUGAGCCCAUGGCUGAUUAGCUAGUUGGUGGGGUAAAGGCCUACCAAGGCGACGAUCAGUAGCUGGUCUGAGCGGAGGAUCAGCCACACUGGAACUGAGACACGGUCCAGACUCCUACGGGAGGCAGCAGUGGGGAAUCUAGCGCAAUGGGGGCAACCCUGACGCAGCCAUACCGCGUGUGCGAUGAAGGUCUUCGGAUUGUAAAGCACUUUCAGUAGGGACGACGAUGACGGUACCUACAGAAGAAGUCACGGCUAACUUCGUGCCAGCAGCCGCCGUAA